UUUCUUCAACUCUUCAUCCCCUUUCCCAUUUCGUAUUCCUCAUUCCCAUUUCCGUAAGAGAGAGAGAGAGAGAGAGAGAGAGAGAGAGAGAGAGAGAGAGAGAGGGAGGGAGAGAGAAGCAAUUUUCGAGCUUGGAUCGCGAUUGGUUCGGGUUUUAAGGUGAAUUUUGGGAAAGAUCCAAGAUUUGCUUCCUACGGAAGUUGCAGAUUAGUGUGGGCCCCUGUAGCCGAUGAGCUCGGAAUAGAA